AUGAACGCUAGCUACAGGCUUAACACAUGCAAGUCGAGGGGCAGCAUGGUCUUAGCUUGCUAAGGCCGAUGGCGACCGGCGCACGGGUGAGUAACACGUAUCCAACCUGCCGUCUACUCUUGGACAGCCUUCUGAAAGGAAGAUUAAUACAAGAUGGCAUCAUGAGUCCGCAUGUUCACAUGAUUAAAGGUAUUCCGGUAGACGAUGGGGAUGCGUUCCAUUAGAUAGUAGGCGGGGUAACGGCCCACCUAGUCUUCGAUGGAUAGGGGUUCUGAGAGGAAGGUCCCCCACAUUGGAACUGAGACACGGUCCAAACUCCUACGGGAGGCAGCAGUGAGGAAUAUUGGUCAAUGGGCGCAGGCCUGGACCAGCCAAGUAGCGUGAAGGAUGACUGCCCUAUGGGUUGUAAACUUCUUUUAUAAAGGAAUAAAGUCGGGUAUGGAUACCCGUUUGCAUGUACUUUAUGAAUAAGGAUCGGCUAACUCCGUGCCAGCAGCCGCGGUAAUACGGAGGAUCCGAGCGUUAUCCGGAUUUAUUGGGUUUAAAGGGAGCGUAGAUGGAUGUUUAAGUCAGUUGUGAAAGUUUGCGGCUCAACCGUAAAAUUGCAGUUGAUACUGGAUAUCUUGAGUGCAGUUGAGGCAGGCGGAAUUCGUGGUGUAGCGGUGAAAUGCUUAGAUAUCACGAAGAACUCCGAUUGCGAAGGCAGCCUGCUAAGCUGCAACUGACAUUGAGGCUCGAAAGUGUGGGUAUCAAACAGGAUUAGAUACCCUGGUAGUCCACACGGUAAACGAUGAAUACUCGCUGUUUGCGAUAUACGGCAAGCGGCCAAGCGAAAGCGUUAAGUAUUCCACCUGGGGAGUACGCCGGCAACGGUGAAACUCAAAGGAAUUGACGGGGGCCCGCACAAGCGGAGGAACAUGUGGUUUAAUUCGAUGAUACGCGAGGAACCUUACCCGGGCUUAAAUUGCAGAUGAAUUACGGUGAAAGCCGUAAGCCGCAAGGCAUCUGUGAAGGUGCUGCAUGGUUGUCGUCAGCUCGUGCCGUGAGGUGUCGGCUUGAGUGCCAUAACGAGCGCAACCCUUGUUGUCAGUUACUAACAGGUUCCGCUGAGGACUCUGACAAGACUGCCAUCGUAAGAUGUGAGGAAGGUGGGGAUGACGUCAAAUCAGCACGGCCCUUACGUCCGGGGCUACACACGUGUUACAAUGGGGGGGUACAGAGGGCCGCUACCACGCGAGUGGAUGCCAAUCCCAAAAACCUCUCUCAGUUCGGACUGGAGUCUGCAACCCGACUCCACGAAGCUGGAUUCGCUAGUAAUCGCGCAUCAGCCACGGCGCGGUGAAUACGUUCCCGGGCCUUGUACACACCGCCCGUCAAGCCAUGGGAGCCGGGGGUACCUGAAGUGCGUAACCGCGAGGAGCGCCCUAGGGUAAAACUGGUGACUGGGGCU
rnacentral:rRNA from 1 species